rnacentral:rRNA from 1 species
GAUGAACGCUGGCGGCGUGCCUAAUACAUGCAAGUCGAGCGAACAGACGAGGCGCUUGCUCCUCUGACGUUAGCGGCGCACGUGUGAGUAACACGUGGAUAACCUCCCUAUCAGACUGGUAUAACUUCGGGAAACCGGAGCUAAUCCCGUAUAAUAUAUUGAACCGCAUGGUUCAAUAGUGAAAGACGGUUUUUCUGUCACUUCUCGAUGGAUCCGCGCCGCAUUAGCUAGUUGGUAAGGUAACGGGUUACCAAGGCGACGAUGCGUAGCCGACGUGAGAGAGUGGUAGGCGACAUGGGAACGGAGACAGGGUCAAGAGGACUAAGAGAGGGAGCAGUAGGGAAUCGGACGCAAUGGGCGAGAGCAUGACGGAGCAACGGGGAGCGAGUGAUAAAGGUGUUGGGAGCGGAAAACUCGGUUAUGAGGGAAGAACAAAUGUGGAAGUAAAUGUGCAGGGCUUGACGGUACCGAAUCAGAAAGCAACGGCUAACUACGUG